rnacentral:lncRNA from 1 species
CUGCAUUGCUGAACUGUAGCCAGAUUUUGUCAGGGAAAUAAGAACUUAUUGUUUUCCUAGUUUCAGGGAACUGCUGGCUCAGUGUUCAGUUUUCAUUCCACAAAUCCAUGACUCACGAAUAAAUGACCUGGAUAAAUGAACACUGAGGAUCUCAGUUGCAGCUGGCAAUUACCCUACCUUUUGAUGGCACUUAUUCUAUUCUGCAUCUGGAAAUUCCAUUUCCACUUGAAGGUUUUUGCUGUGUUCUGCAAAUGGAGAAAAGCGUAAGACAUAGUCUUUAUGCCUUUAAAAAUUUGGCCGGGCAUGGUGCCUCACGCUUAUAAUCCCAGCACUUUGGGAGGCCAAGGUUUUAAAUUUUUCCAAAUAAAAAGUUGUAUGCAGCAGGGGUCAGAAGACAAGAAAAGUCUAUUUGAAGGAAAUUAUUUUAGAAAUCCAGAACAAAAAUAAAAGAUGGAGAAAACUUACACAGACAACACAGACAACUGAUGCAUGAAGCCUCAGAGGAAGAAAGCCCUGGACAAAGGACAGAGCUCUGGAAUGGGGAUGGCAGGGCCUACACGCGCCCGUCUCCUCUGUCAUCACAGGCUGUGUGAUCGUGGACAUUUGCCUAAGCUCUCUGUCUUCAUUUCUUAGGGCUGCCAUCACCAAAACAACAGGUAUUUAUUAGGCCGGGAGCAGUGGCUCAUGCCUGUAAUCCCAGC